UGCGUAGGUGGUUGUUUAAGUCUGCUGUGAAAGCCCCGGGCUCAACCUGGGAAUGGCAGUGGAUACUGGACAGCUAGAAUGCGGUAGAGGGUAGUGGAAUUCCCGGUGUAGCAGUGAAAUGCGUAGAGAUCGGGAGGAACACCAGUGGCGAAGGCGGCUACCUGGACCAGCAUUGACACUCAAGCACGAAAGCGUGGGAGCAAACA
rnacentral:rRNA from 1 species